GGGGGUGUAAUGGCUUCGACAGGCACUGGAUUUAAUAAAUUGCAGUGGUUGGUAACCUAAAACCAUCUAGGCUUUUUUAAACGGAAACUUAGAAACUUCUGAAGACAAGAAACUUGAUCUUCAAUUUGUGAUGAACUCACAAACACAACAAAAUCUACUAUUUGCUUAAUAAAUCGUAGUCAGGCGAAUAUAUUAGUUUCAAAUAUUUGCUUUGUCGCUUAGGAACUAUGCCUUAACUAAAGUAGCUAAGUUAAGUGUUAAAUAAUUGCUACUCAAAUUUAUUGACAUUUGUUAAUUAGAUAAAUAAAUGGGUCUUUCACUUAAUUAACUAAACUUGUAGACAUUUAUUAAUGAAAGUGUGUGGACCGGGGUUCGAUUCCCCGCAUCUCCACCA
rnacentral:tmRNA from 2 species